rnacentral:rRNA from 1 species
GACGAACGCUGGCGGCGUGCUUAACACAUGCAAGUCGAACGGAAAGGCCCUGCUUUUGUGGGGUGCUCGAGUGGCGAACGGGUGAGUAACACGUGAGUAACCUGCCCUUGACUUUGGGAUAACUUCAGGAAACUGGGGCUAAUACCGGAUAGGAGCUCCAGCUGCAUGGGGGGGGUUGGAAAGUUUCGGCGGUUGGGGAUGGACUCGCGGCUUAUCAGCUUGUUGGUGGGGUAGUGGCUUACCAAGGCUUUGACGGGUAGCCGGCCUGAGAGGGUGACCGGCCACAUUGGGACUGAGAUACGGCCCAGACUCCUACGGGAGGCAGCAGUGGGGAAUAUUGCACAAUGGGCGGAAGCCUGAUGCAGCAACGCCGCGUGCGGGAUGACGGCCUUCGGGUUGUAAACCGCUUUCGCCUGUGACGAAGCGUGAGUGACGGUAAUGGGUAAAGAAGCACCGGCUAACUACGUG